UACGAAGGGGGCUAGCGUUGCUCGGAAUCACUGGGCGUAAAGCGCACGUAGGCGGACUCUUAAGUCAGGGGUGAAAUCCUGGAGCUCAACUCCAGAACUGCCUUUGAUACUGAGAGCCUUGAGUCCGGAAGAGGUAAGUGGAACUGCGAGUGUAGAGGUGAAAUUCGUAGAUAUUCGCAAGAACACCAGGGGCGAAGGCGGCUCACUGGCCCGAUACUGACGCUGAGGCACGAAAGCGUGGGGAGCAAACAGG
rnacentral:rRNA from 1 species